UUGUCACCAUGGUUUGGCACGAUUGGCCACUAUUACUUUGUUGAUUUGGUGCUCAUUCAUGUGCUUCUUACCACCAUUUGCUCUUACCCUGGCAAAACAAAAGUUAAGACUGAUCAUAAGUGAGUUUCAACAAAAUGUUACCUCCAAUGUCAUCUCGACUGCCAGCUCCUCUAGGAAGCUAGGAUUUCAUUCUCUUAACGUCAGAUACACCAAAUCCAUAUAAAUGCUCAAGCUCAAGCUAAUUUCAAAGCACGCAUGCAAAACUUACAGUACAAAGGUUGGAGAGAAUGUUUGGCUUAACGGCCAGUCACUUUGGUAGCUGCUUCAAUGAAUCGCCUUUGAGGCAUAUGAACUCCACUAUGAACGGAAUUAUUUUGAUUUCUCUGGGUGCUUUCUUGUUGCUAGCACUGCAUUUAUGCACACCAUUAAGUUACUACUCUGAUUUGCUGUUCGAAUUCAAAGACAGAGUACCUUCGAUGUCGUCCCCCAACGCAAACAAGCGUUCGUCUUUCAACGAGUCUACAAGCAUCUUCUUCAAGCGUUUCUCUGAGUAUGGCAAACAGGAAUGUCACAACGUAAGUACUACCGCUGCUCUCUUCUUUGGGCUCCCUAGAGCAGAGAAUGGAGGCGAAAUUACCUUGUCCACUGAUGUUCUUCACAAGAUUUGGAUCGUCUCAUAUGCUGCUAGCGGAAACAGGAGAUGCUUUGGAGGAGACUUCUACGAGACGGAUCUCUCCAGUUAAGUUUGUUCUGAAAGUUUUUGUUCUCACGAAUUUUCUAUCAUCUGUAGGUCCUCAAUGGAAAUCAAGGCCACCAAUCACAGAUGUCGGAGAUGGCUCUUACCUCGUCGAGCUGAAAGUGGAUGAGGAAUUCGCUGGAAACUACACCUUCAAGGUUAUCCUUCUAUACUCCAACUUUCGUGGACUGGAGCAUCAGCCGGGUCCAUGGGCCCUUACGAAAGAGAUGCUAACCGUCCAAAUCCGUUUUACUACCAGCCGAAAAAGAAAUCCUCAUCUUGCAACCUGCACCAGCCACGACUUCGUGUCAGCAACAACAUGGUCAGGCAAAUGGACUAGAACAAAAUUCAACGAGUCCUGUCAGCUCGACAAGGAAGGACGUUACCGUUGCUUGGGAGAACAUGAGGAGUGCGAUGACAGCCAAUGCAUUGGCAACCUUGAGAGCUUGGAGAGCAACGGAUGGGUGUAUUCAGCUCACUGUAAGUUCCGCAUCUG
rnacentral:lncRNA from 1 species